ensembl:lncRNA
CAUCACUAUGCUGUGGUCUAGGUGUCCAUCACUAUGCUGUGGUCUAGAUGUCCAUCACUAUGCUGUGGUCUAGAUGUCCAUCACUAUGCUGUGGUCUAGAUGUCCAUCACUAUGCUGUGGUCUAGAUGUCUAUCACUAUGCUGUGGUCUAGGUGUCCAUCACUAUGCUGUGGUCUAGGUGUCCAUCACUAUGCUGUGGUCUAGGUGUCCAUCACUAUGCUGUGGUCUAGUUGUCCAUCACUAUGCUGUGGUCUAGGUGUCUAUCACUAUGCUGUGGUCUAGCUGUCCAUCACUAUGCUGUGGUCUAGGUGUCCAUCACUAUGCUGUGG